UACGUAGGGACCGAGCGUUGUCCGGAAUCAUUGGGCGUAAAGAGCGUGUAGGCGGCCACUUAAGUCCUGCGUGAAAUCUUGCGGCUCAACCGCAAGCGGUCGUGGGAAACUGGGUGGCUAGAGUGCGGGGAGAGGAGAGUGGAAUUCCUGGUGUAGCGGUGGAAUGCGCAGAUAUCAGGAAGAACACCCGUGGCGAAGGCGGCUCUCUGGGACGGUACUGACGCUGAGGCGCGAAAGCGUGGGGAGCGAACAGG
rnacentral:rRNA from 1 species